UCAGACAUGCAAGUCGAACGAUUAAACUUUCCUUCGGGGAAGAUAUAAAGUGGCGCACGGGUGAGUAACACGUAAGUAAUCUACCUUCGAGUGGGGAAUAACGUCGGGAAACCGACGCUAAUACCGCAUAAUGCAGCGGCACCUUAUGGUGACAGUUGUUAAAGGAGUAAUUCGCUUGAAGAGGAGCUUGCGGCAGAUUAGCUAGUUGGUAAGGUAAUGGCUUACCAAGGCUACGAUCUGUAGCCGGUCUAAGAGGACGGUCGGUCACACUGACACUGAAUAACGGGUCAGACUCCUACGGGAGGCAGCAGUCGGGAAUUUUGGGCAAUGGGCGAAAGCCUGACCCAGCAACGCCGCGUGAAGGAUGAAGUAUUUCGGUAUGUAAACUUCGAAAGAAUGGGAAGAAUCAAUGACGGUACCAUUUAUAAGGUCCGGCUAACUACGUGCCAGCAGCCGCGGUAAUACGUAGGGACCAAGCGUUGUUCGGAUUUACUGGGCGUAAAGGGCGCGUAGGCGGCAAUUCAAGUCAUCUGUGAAAUCUCCGGGCUUAACCCGGAACGGUCAGGUGAUACUGUUUUGCUAGAGUGCGGAAGGGGCAAUCGGAAUUCUCGGUGUAGCGGUGAAAUGCGUAGAUAUCGAGAGGAACACCAGAGGUGAAGACGGGUUGCUGGGCCGACACUGACGCUGACAGCGCGAAAGCCAGGGGAGCAAACGGGAUUAGAUACCCCGGUAGUCCUGGCCCUAAACGAUGAAUACUUGGUGUCUGGAGUUAUUAGUGCUCCGGGUGCCGUCGCUAACGUUUUUAGUAUUCCGCCUGGGGAGUACGCUCGCAAGAGUGAAACUCAAAGGAAUUGACGGGGACCCGCACAAGCGGUGGAGCAUGUGGUUUAAUUCGACGCAACGCGAAGA
rnacentral:rRNA from 1 species